GUCUUUGUAAAGCAGCUAAGGAUGCGUACGAAGAAGGUCAAAGAAAGUUGGCGUGUCCAAGUGUGCAAGCCCGACAGGAACCCAACCACCAGGAGCCUCGAUCGCCUCGGCCACAGGAGCCUCGGAUCGCCUCGGCCACAGGCUCCCCAGGUCCUCCGCACUACAAGCGCAUCUGUAUCCCAACCCACUGCAAUGACCAUGUAGCUGCAAUGUCCAGCUCCACUCAACUUCUUCAACCUUACAGCUGCUAUUGAACUGCUUCAAAUGUGAACCUGAAACCACCGUUCCAGGCUUCCUGGCAUCCCCAUGAUUGCAGCAUGCCCCCAAACAUGCGGCUUAGAGAUCAGAGGGCUCCAGUGGGGCACGAGUGGGGAUUGUGUGGGUUGGGCUAGGAAUCUAGGAAUUGGUCUAGGGGAAAAUCUUUGAGGAACAUAUUAGUGAAAAUUCACAGAUCACGUUUAUAAAUCAAAGGUUCUGAGAAAUAGUUCAGCUGAGAAACAAGUAUUACUGUAGGCAGCUAGGUUAAAUAGAAAUUAAUACACAGUCAGAGAAGGACUGGGCCCUCAAGAAAGUCAGCACAUAAAUAAAGACAUCAGAAUCAUGGCUGGAGGCACACCCGAAGAAGGCCAGGACUCAAGAUGAAGAUGGCAACAGCCAGGCCUAUGUACUUUCCUAAGGGAUAAACAGCAACUUGAAAUUACACUGUCAUUAAUACCGCCUGGUCCAGUAGGUCCAGACUGAUAGGUACCAGUCACCCAAGGUGGAUGAACUGAACAUCUGGCCCCAUCCUUUCCCAAAACUGCAUUUGUUCAUUCCAAGUACACUUGCUAUGUGACUCAUUUCCCUAUUGGGUCAGUCUUUUCUAAGCAGCUAUAUGUUGAUUGCAGUUUGACCCAACUUGCUCCCAC
rnacentral:lncRNA from 1 species